CAGUCGAACGAGAGAAGAGAAGCUUGCUUUUCUGAUCUAGUGGCGGACGGGCGUGUAACACGUGAGCAAUCUGCCUUUCAGAGGGGGAUACCCCUUGGAAACGAUCGUUAAUACCGCAUAACAUAAUUGAACCGCAUGAUUUGAUUAUCAAAGAUUUAUCGCUGAAAGAUGAGCUCGCGUCUGAUUAGCUAGUUGGUAAGGUAACGGCUUACCAAGGCGACGAUCAGUAGCCGGACUGAGAGGUUGAUCGGCCACAUUGGGACUGAGACACGGCCCAGACUCCUACGGGAGGCAGCAGUGGGGAAUAUUGCACAAUGGAGGAAACUCUGAUGCAGCGAUGCCGCGUGAGGGAAGAAGGUUUUAGGAUUGUAAACCUCUGUCUUCAGGGACGAAAAAAGACGGUACCUGAGGAGGAAGCUCCGGCUAACUACGUGCCAGCAGCCGCGGUAAUACGUAUGGAGCAAGCGUUAUCCGGAUUUACUGGGUGUAAAGGGAGUGUAGGUGGUAUCACAAGUCAGAAGUGAAAGCCCGGGGCUCAACCCCGGGACUGCUUUUGAAACCGUGGAACUGGAGUGCAGGAGAGGUAAGUGGAAUUCCUAGUGUAGCGGUGAAAUGCGUAGAUAUUAGGAGGAACACCAGUGGCGAAGGCGGCUUACUGGACUGUAACUGACACUGAGGCUCGAAAGCGUGNGGAGCAAACAGGAUUAGAUACCCUNGUAGUCCACGCCGUAAACGAUGAAUACUAGGUGUCGGGGCUCAUAAGAGC
rnacentral:rRNA from 1 species